GAAUGGAGUCCCGUAAUAGCUUGUCAUUGAGUGUGUCAGUUCCUUGGUGCUGCUUGGUAGAAAAAAAAGGGAAAUUACAAGAAGUGGCUACCCUGGUAUUGCAACAUUCCAAGAGCAUACGCAGUUUAAACGCAGAUGCACACAAAAUGAAAACUUCGAGAGUGAACAGCCAACACUGACAGCGAGCAUGGAAGGUGCGGAAAGGAGGUAAAGUGCUGAGCUGAUCAAGACUGAAGAGAAAUCGAAACGCAAGCAGUGGACAAGACUGAUAACGAGCAAGAAGCAAGAAAGAAGUGAAAAGAAUGUGAAAAGUUGGGUUGAUCAAAACAGAAGAGAAAACCAAAGACGAAGGCAGCGGACAAGUUGUUUUUCAAGAAUCAGGAAGGACGAGAUGUCG